CGUAGGGCGAAGCGUUAUCCGGAUUACUGGGUGUAAAGGGAGCGUAGGUGGCAUGGUAAGUCAGAUGUGAAAGCCCAGGGCUCAACCCUGGGACUGCAUUUGAAACUAUCAGGCUAGAGUGCAGGAGAGGUAAGUGGAAUUCCUAGUGUAGCGGUGAAAAUGCGUAGAUAUUAGGAAGAACACCAGUGGCGAAGGCGGCUUACUGGACUGUAACUGACACUGAGGCUCGAAAGCGUGGGAGCAAACAGGAUU
rnacentral:rRNA from 1 species